AUUGAACGCUGGCGGCAGGCUUAACACAUGCAAGUCGAGCGGAGCGAGGGUGCUUGCACCUUAGCUUAGCGGCGGACGGGUGAGUAAUGCUUAGGAAUCUGCCUAUUAGUGGGGGACAACAUUCCUAAAGGAAUGCUAAUACCGCACACGCCCUACGGGGGAAAGCAGGGGAUCUUCGGACCUUGCGCUAAUAGAUGAGCCUAAGUCGGAUUAGCUAGUUGGUGGGGUAAAGGCCUACCAAGGCGACGAUCUGUAGCGGGUCUGAGAGGAUGAUCCGCCACACUGGGACUGAGACACGGCCCAGACUCCUACGGGAGGCAGCAGUGGGGAAUAUUGGACAAUGGGCGGAAGCCUGAUCCAGCCAUGCCGCGUGUGUGAAGAAGGCCUUAUGGUUGUAAAGCACUUUAAGCGAGGAGGAGGCUCUUUUGGUUAAUACCCAAGAUGAGUGGACGUUACUCGCAGAAUAAGCACCGGCUAACUCUGUGCCAGCCGCCGCCGUAA
rnacentral:rRNA from 1 species